rnacentral:lncRNA from 1 species
AUUCACUCAUCCAUAAAGAAAAUAUUUCCUGAGGAACUACUACCUUCCAGGCAGUGUUUUGAGUCUUGAGCACACACAGCCAGGCCUGGGUCCUGACUUCAGCUACUCAUAGUCUAGCAGGUGGAGACAGACAGCCUGCAGGUGCAUGAACACUUGGAUGAAGAGGAGCCAAACGAUCCUGGUGGUUUGCAGCAGAGAUUGGCUUGAUUGAGUUGAUUUUACAGAGCACGUACAACUAGGCCUCAUAGCCUUGAGCCGGGUCUCACCACAGUCCCCAGCCCUUUCUCCAUGAGAUGAAAGAAACGCAGCUUGAACUGGUCAAAGCAGAAAGAAAAAUUACUGGCCAACGUAAUGAGAAAACAAGAGUGGAGCUGAGCUUCAGGCAUGGCGAGAGGUAGAAAGAAAUGGUCUCAAAGCUCGGGCUGUCUGGUUCCAGCCCACACUUCACAACCUCGCUGCUACGCCAUGAGUCAUCGCGAAGAGCAACAUCACUUCCCUCUGACUGUGGGCGUUGCCACUCUCCUGAGCCUUCCUUGGCCAGGAGCGCCUCUGUGGCCCGCUUCACUCCCCAUCAGGGAUUAGCUGAGCCAUCUCUGAGACUGCAUGAUGUGCUGGUCACUGAACAUUGGAUGUCCAACUGCUCUGUUGAAGAAUAGCAUCAACAAUGAUGUGAAUUUUCUCUUCCAUUGUCCCAUUCAGUCCUAGAUUUUUUCAUUUCCUUCUUGUUCAAGAUAAUGAGGUCCUAUCAUGCCAAGCACAUGGAAACAUUAAAAUUUUGUCAGUCUCUGUUAAUAAUGAAUAAAUAUGUAUCAAAGG